rnacentral:lncRNA from 1 species
GGCUCACACACACACACAAGCACACACGCGCUCACACACAGAGAGAAAAUCCUUCUGCCUGUUGAUUUAUGGAAACAAUUAUGAUUCUGCUGGAGAACUUUUCAGCUGAGAAAUAGUUUGUAGCUACAGUAGAAAGGCUCAAGUUGCACCAGGCAGACAACAGACAUGGAAUUCUUAUAUAUCCAGCUGUUAGCAACAAAACAAAAGUCAAAUAGCAAACAGCGUCACAGCAACUGAACUUACUACGAACUGUUUUUAUGAGGAUUUAUCAACAGAGUUAUUUAAGGAGGAAUCCUGUGUUGUUAUCAGGAACUAAAAGGAUAAGGCUAACAAUUUGGAAAGAGCAACUACUCUUUCUUAAAUCAAUCUACAAUUCACAGAUAGGAAGAGGUCAAUGACCUAGGAGUAACAAUCAACUCAAGAUUCAUUUUCAUUAUGUUAUUCAUGAACACCCGGAGCACUACACUAUAAUGCACAAAUGGAUACUGACAUGGAUCCUGCCAACUUUGCUCUACAGAUCAUGCUUUCACAUUAUCUGUCUAGUGGGUACUAUAUCUUUAGCUUGCAAUGACAUGACUCCAGAGCAAAUGGCUACAAAUGUGAACUGUUCCAGCCCUGAGCGACACACAAGAAGUUAUGAUUACAUGGAAGGAGGGGAUAUAAGAGUGAGAAGACUCUUCUGUCGAACACAGUGGUACCUGAGGAUCGAUAAAAGAGGCAAAGUAAAAGGGACCCAAGAGAUGAAGAAUAAUUACAGUAAGUAAUUUUAAGUACUGCUCAUGAACCUUAGCAAUCUGUUAAUGGAUCAAUUUUCAGGUGAUAUGUUUUCUCAUCUUCCUUUUGCUUCUUGGAAAAAAAAUUAAAUAAAAUGUCACCUAAUUUCUCUAAAUUGAACUAUGUUGAACUAUGCCCCUAAAAAUAUCUCUUUUAACAGGGCAAAUCUACUUACAUUAUAGUUGGACCUGAUAAUCCAAGCCAAUUUGAAAAUAUAUACUCCUUGUCCUGAAAAUGCUCAUAAGUUAAGCAAAAUGUAAAUAAUAUUAUUCACACCAAAAUGUGACUUAAUAUUGUCUAAGCAAAACUCAUUAAGAUAUCUAAUUUAGAACUUCAUAAAUUAUCACUAAAAGCUAUUUAUCACUAGUUUAAAGAGUAGGGAAAUUAUUUUUAUUAAUUUGAUUUUCUUUGAAAUAAUAUUUUCAUGAUGUAAAUUAAAAUACUUAAUCUGUGCUAAGAUAUGCAUUCCUUUGCAAUUGUGUAUAAUGAUAAAAUAGAAGGGAAUCUGUGGUAUCCUUAUUCAUUUGAGUCAUAAUGAGCUUGUAUUAAGUUGAUGACUUAUCAACUUAGGCAGAAAAACAGAUCUCUCCUAACGUUUUCCUUAACUAAAUCUUUUAUGUCAUAAAAGUUCUGUGCUAUCUUAAGAAAAAUGUAAAGGUGAGGGGAAAAAAGUGGGCUGGAAGAGAUGGUAAUUCCAUGUUUUUCAAUUUAAAGCCUUACAUUUUUCCCAAGAAUCAGUUAUUCUUCUUAUGUUAAAAUAUCAGGGUUGUGUUUUGCAUUUAAUGGUUAUGAUGAAUAACCAACUUCAAUAGUAUUAAAUGUAAUGGAAUAAGAUACACACCUCAACAUGUACAUUAAGGAUUUAAAAUACUUAGUAAAAAUAAAUUUUGUUUACAUUACUAGCACUCAGAAAA